AAUCGUGACUCGGGUUACCGCGGCUGCUGGCACGGAGUUAGCCGGUGCUUCUUCUGCGAGUAACGUCACAGAUGUAAGGUAUUAACUUACACCCUUCCUCCUCGCUGAAAGUAGACUUUACAACCCGAAGGCCUUCUUCACACACGCGGCAUGGCUGCAUCAGGGUUUCCCCCAUUGUGCAAUAUUCCCCACUGCUGCCUCCCGUAGGAGUCUGGGCCGUGUCUCAGUCCCAGUGUGGCUGGAUCAUCCUCU
rnacentral:rRNA from 1 species